rnacentral:rRNA from 1 species
GUAGGUGGCAAGCGUUGUCCGGAAUUAUUGGGCGUAAAGCGCGCGCAGGCGGUUCGUUUAAGUCUGAUGUGAAAGCCCACGGGCUCAACCGUGGAGGGUCAUUGGAAACUGGAGAACUUGAGUACAGAAGAGGAAAGCGGAAUUCCACGUGUAGCGGUGAAAUGCGUAGAGAUGUGGAGGAACACCAGUGGCGAAGGCGGCUUUCUGGUCUGUAACUGACGCUGAGGCGCGAAAGCGUGGGGAGCAAACAGGAUUAGAUACCCUGGUAGUCCACGCCGUAAACGAUGAGUGCUAAGUGUUAGGGGGUUUCCGCCCCUUAGUGCUGCAGCUAACGCAUUAAGCACUCCGCCUGGGGAGUACGGCCACAAGGCUG